rnacentral:rRNA from 1 species
GAUGAACGCUGGCGGCAUGCCUAAUACAUGCAAGUCGAACGGGACAUCUUCGGGUGUCCAGUGGCGAACGGGUGAGUAACACGUAGGUAACCUGCCCAUGUGCCCGGGAUAACGCCUGGAAACGGGUGCUAAAACCGGAUAGGUAAUGAUGGAGCAUUCGAUCAUUAUUAAAGGAGCUGCAAGGCUCUGAACAUGGAUGGACCUGCGGUGCAUUAGCUAGUUGGUGAGGUAACGGCCCACCAAGGCGACGAUGCAUAGCCGGCCUGAGAGGGUGAACGGCCACAUUGGGACUGAGACACGGCCCAAACUCCUACGGGAGGCAGCAGUAGGGAAUUUUCGUCAAUGGGGGGAACCCUGAACGAGCAAUGCCGCGUGAGUGAGGAAGGUCUUCGGAUCGUAAAGCUCUGUUGCAGGAGAAAAACGGCGGUACCUGACGAGGAAGCCACGGCUAACUACGUGCCAGCAGCCGCGGU